rnacentral:rRNA from 1 species
UCAAUAAGCGGAGGAAAAGAAACCAACAGGGAUUGCCUCAGUAACGGCGAGUGAAGCGGCAACAGCUCAAAUUUGAAAUCUGGCUCUUUCAGGGUCCGAGUUGUAAUUUGUAGAAGAUGCUUCGGGCGUGGCUCCGGUCUAAGUUCCUUGGAACAGGACGUCAUAGAGGGUGAGAAUCCCGUAUGUGACUGGGUGCCUAUGCUCAUGUGAAGCUCUUUCGACGAGUCGAGUUGUUUGGGAAUGCAGCUCUAAAUGGGUGGUAAAUUUCAUCUAAAGCUAAAUACUGGCCAGAGACCGAUAGCGCACAAGUAGAGUGAUCGAAAGAUGAAAAGCACUUUGGAAAGAGAGUUAAACAGUACGUGAAAUUGUUGAAAGGGAAGCGCUUGCAACCAGACUUGCAUGCAGCUGAUCAUCCGGUGUUCUCACCGGUGCACUCAGCUGUGUUCAGGCCAGCAUCGGUUUCGGUGGUUGGAUAAAGGCCUUGGGAAUGUAGCUUCCUUCGGGGAGUGUUAUAGCCCGCGGUGCAAUGCAGCCUACUGGGACCGAGGACCGCGCUUCGGCUAGGAUGCUGGCGUAAUGGUUGUAAGCGACCCGUCUUGAAACACGGACCAAGGAGUCUAACAUCUAUGCGAGUGUUUGGGUGUCAAACCCAUACGCGUAAUGAAAGUGAACGGAGGUGAGAACUCUUAAGAGUGCAUCAUCGACCGAUCCUGAUGUCUUCGGAUGGAUUUGAGUAAGAGCAUAGCUGUUGGGACCCGAAAGAUGGUGAACUAUACUUGAAUAGGGUGAAGCCAGAGGAAACUCUGGUGGAGGCUCGCAGCGGUUCUGACGUGCAAAUCGAUCGUCAAAUUUGGGUAUAGGGGCGAAAGACUAAUCGAACCAUCUAGUAGCUGGUUCCUGCCGAA